rnacentral:rRNA from 1 species
GCCUCAGUAACGGCGAGUGAAGCGGCAACAGCUCAAAUUUGAAAUCUGGAGUCUUUCGGCUUCCGAGUUGUAAUUUGAAGAGGAUGUUUCGGUGCGACCUGGGCCUAAGUUCCUUGGAACAGGACGUCAUGGAGGGUGAGAAUCCCGUACAUGGCUGCAGGUUUGCUUCUAUGUGAAACUCCUUCGAAGAGUCGAGUUGUUUGGGAAUGCAGCUCAAAAUGGGUGGUAAAUUUCAUCUAAAGCUAAAUAUUGGCGGGAGACCGAUAGCGCACAAGUAGAGUGAUCGAAAGAUGAAAAGCACUUUGAAAAGAGAGUUAAACAGUACGUGAAAUUGUUGAAAGGGAAGCGCUUGCAAUCAGACUCGCCUUCAGCUGAUCAACCUUCCUUCUGGUUGGUGCACUCUGCUGUUGGCGGGCCAGCAUCAGUUGGGGCGGCGGGAUAAAGGCGGCAGGAAUGUGGCUCGUUUCGGCGAGUGUUAUAGCCUGCUGUGUCAUGCCGCCAGCCCCGACUGAGGUCCGCGGUUCGCCUAGGAUGCUGGCUUAAUGGUUGUAAGCGACCCGUCUUGAAACACGGACCAAGGAGUCUAACAUCUAUGCGAGU